GGCUAUAUCCAGAACAGAAAAAUACUUAGCAUUGCCGUCUACUUGUGCCAUGAUAUCUGGUGAGGAGGCCGCUAUAUGGGCUGCUGGUGGGGUAUACUUAUUCACCACUCGCAUGUCCACAAUUAAACGAUAAGAGCCAUCUGGCUUGAUUAUUGGCCAAAUGGGGGAAUUACAUUUGGAAUUACCCACUCUCAGCACUCCUUGAGAUACCAAUGCCUCUAUCACUUGACUCACACCUUCUUCUGAUUCUUUUGGAAUUUUAUAUUGUUUUACUGCAGGAGGGUCUGGUCCUUCAAUGACAACUUGUAAAUUCAUUCUCCC